UACGGUAGGGGGCAAGCGUUGUCCGGAUUUAUUGGGCGUAAAGAGCGUGUAGGCGGCCAGACAGGUCCGUUGCGAAAACUCGAGGCUCAACCUCGAGACGUCGAUGGAAACCGUCUGGCUAGAGUCCGGAAGAGGAGAGUGGAAUUCCUGGUGUAGCGGUGAAAUGCGCAGAUAUCAGGAAGAACACCCGUGGCGAAGGCGGCUCUCUGGGACGGUACUGACGCUGAGACGCGAAAGCGUGGGGAGCGAACAGG
rnacentral:rRNA from 1 species